rnacentral:rRNA from 2 species
AUAAGGAAAGUAAACAAGGGCGCAUGGCGGAUGCCUUGGCUCUCGGAGGCGAUGAAGGACGUGAUAAGCUGCGAUAAGCUCCGGGGAGGUGCAAAUAACCUUUGAUCCGGGGAUUUCCGAAUGGGACAACCCGGCGUGUUGAAGACACGCCACCUGAUCAUUUCAGGAGCUAACGCAGGGAACUGAAACAUCUUAGUACCUGCAGGAAAAGAAAAUAACAAUGAUUCCCCCAGUAGUGGCGAGCGAACGGGGAAUAGCCCAAACCGUUCAUGUUACGGCAUGAUCGGGGUUGUAGGACUACGUCGUUGCAUGAAGACAUCGGAGAAGAACUUUCUGGAAAGAAAGACCAUAGAGCAUGACAGUUGCGUAUUCGUAUGUUGUCGAAGCAUAGUAGUAUCCUGAGUAGCGCGGAGCACGAGGAAUUCUGCGUGAAUCUGCCGGGACCAUCCGGUAAGGCUAAAUACUCCCGAGAGACCGAUAGCGAACCAGUACCGUGAGGGAAAGGUGAAAAGCACUUCGAACAGAAGAGUGAAAUAGUUCCUGAAACCGUGCGCCUACAAGCGGUCGGAGCUGCUUAAAGCAGUGACGGCGUGCCUUUUGCAUAAUGAACCUACGAGUUGCCUUUGCCGGCAAGGUUAAGUGUGACGACACACGUAUCCGAAGCGAAAGCGAGUCUGAAUAGGGCGUAUAGUCGGCAGUGGCAGACGCGAAACCAAGUGAUCUACCCUUGGCCAGGUUGAAGGCUGGGUAACACCAGCUGGAGGACCGCACCAAUAAGCGUUGAAAAGCUUCUGGAUGAGCUGAGGGUAGGGGUGAAAGGCUAAUCAAACUUGGAGAUAGCUCGUACUCCCCGAAAUGCAUUUAGGUGCAGCCUUGUGGGUUACUGAUGUGAGGUAGAGCGACUGAUAAGAUGCGAGGGCUUCACCGCCUAUCAAGUCUUGACAAACUCCGAAUGCGCAUCAGUUUUACCUCAGGAGUGAGGGCAUGGGUGCUAAGGUCCGUGCCCGAGAGGAGAAGAAUCCGGACCACCUGCUAAGGUCCCGAAAUGACAGCUAAGUUAAACUAACGAAGUCUGACUGCUAAGACAGCUAGGAUGUUGGCUUGGAAGCAGCCAUUCAUUUAAAGAGUGCGUAACAGCUCACUAGUCGAGGAGUCUGGCGUGGAUAAUAAUCGGGUAUUAAGUUGUCUACCGAAGCAGUGGGAUCAUUGAAAUGAUCGGUAGGGGAGCAUUCCAGUCAGCGUCGAAGGCGUACCGCGAGGUAUUCUGGAGCGUCUGGAAAAGCAAAUGUAGGUAUAAGUAACGAUAAAGGGGGCGGGAAACCCCCUCGCCGAAAGACUAAGGUUUCCUGAUCAACGCUAAUCGGAUCAGGGUAAGUCGGGUCCUAAGGCUCAGCCGAAGGGCGAUGCCGAUGGCAGAAACGGUUAAUAUUCCGUUACUACCUCCAGGAGUGAUGUGGAGACGCAGUAGUGACAAUGCCGCCAUCUGACGGAAUAGAUGGUUGAAGGGUGUAGAUGUUGAUCUUGGCAGGCAAAUCCACCAUGAGAAUCGAACCUGAUAGUAUGCCGCGUCCCUCGGGACAAGGCAAUAGUGCAUGUAAUCAUGCUGCCAAGAAAAUCCGCUAAACUAAAUCCUGUAGGUACCCGUACCGUAAACGGACACACGUAGUCGGGAUGAAUAUUCUAAGGCGCUUGAGUGAUUCACGGUUAAGGAACUAGGCAAACUGACCCUGUAACUUCGGGAUAAAGGGUCCCUACCCGGUGACGGGAGGGCGCAGAGAAUAGGUCCAGGCAACUGUUUAACAAAAACACAGGGCUGUGCUAAAUCGAAAGAUCCUGUAUACAGCCUGACACCUGCCCGGUGCUGGAAGGUUAAGAGGAGACGUCAUCGUUGAGAGAAGCGUUGAAUUGAAGCCCCAGUAAACGGCGGCCGUAACUAUAACGGUCCUAAGGUAGCGAAAUUCCUUGUCGGGUAAGUUC